UACGUAGGGGGCAAGCGUUGUCCGGAAUUAUUGGGCGUAAAGCGCGCGCAGGCGGCUCUUUAAGUCUGGUGUUUAAUCCCGAGGCUCAACUUCGGGUCGCACUGGAAACUGGGGGACUUGAGUGCAGGAGAGAAGAGUGGAAUUCCUCGUGUAGCGGUGAAAUGCGCAGAUAUCAGGAGGAACACCGGUGGCGAAGGCGGGUCUCUGGGCCGAUAUUGACGCUGAGGAGCGAAAGCGUGGGGAGCAAACAGG
rnacentral:rRNA from 1 species